AAACUAACUUGGAAGUUUGUAGAAUUGCAUGGGAAAACAAUAUGUCCAGCUAUAGACAGGCUCUAAAAGCUGCCAGGACUGAGUACAACUCAAACUCAUAGAAAAUAACCAAAACAAUCCAAGGUUUUUAUUCAGCACAGUGGCUAGAUUAACAAAUAACUAGACGCCGACCGAUCUAAAUAUUCCCUUACAGUUUAUAGUAAUGACUUUAUGAAUUUCUUCACUGAUAAAAUAGAUAACAUCAGAAAUACAAUAACAAAUGUAGAUUCUACCCAAAGAAAAACUGCAGUGCUUCACAACUAUAUAACAGGAAGAGCUAAAUAAACUUAUAACUGCAUCUAAACCAACAACAUGUUUAUUAGAUCCUGUGUUGCCCUUAAGGCAGUUAAUAAUUUAAUAAAUAUGUUAAAUGGUUUAAAAUGUUUAAAUUAAGCAUUUCUAAGAGUUUCUUAUAAGUAUUUCAUGUGUAUUUGUAAGUUUUAUUUAAAAAAUAUUAGCGGACAUUUUGAUUCCGCUCGGCCGCGUUAACUUCCGGUUCGGCCGCGAUAACUUCCGGUUUCGGUUUCAUGGUAAUCAGAGCAGGCGAAAUCCAGCAUGGUACGGUCAGCAAUCUGUCGCCAUUCUCACUAAAGCACUGUCAAGGCAAUGCCGUAAGUUUAUAUAUGUGUUUAUAAGGAUCUUAAGUAAUGUAUUUUUGUAUUGUCUAGUUGGGAAAUGCAUUUUAAAGUGUUGAUGAACGACUUUUAUUUUCGUCUGUCUAAAGCUCAGUUUUUCUAAGAGCAUGUUGUGUAUACUUACAGUUUUCACCAUCUGGAGAAGAAAUUAAAAUGCAAAAACGUCCUUUGUGGUCCUGGUCUUCUUCAGUGGUUUAUCUACGUGUUCAUUUGGCAACAUAACAGUGAAAAGGCAGCAUUCAGAGCUUCAUCGUGGUCAAAAGGGCAGCUAGCAACAGAUCUGCUACAAAUACUUCAGGUCUUUCAGUCUCAUCUGCAAGCAGUGCCGCUCGUGCUCGAGCCAAAGCAGAAGCAGCUAGGUUUUCACCAUCUGGAGAAGAAAUUAAAAUGCAAAAACGUCCUUUGUGGUCCUGGUCUUCUUCAGUGGUUUAUCUACGUGUUCAUUUGGCAACAUAACAGAUCCUGUUCCCACUAAAUUACUGAAAGACAGGGGCGGACUGGCCAUCGGGAGCACCGGGACAUUUCCCGGUGGCCUGAUGGUCAUUCUGGCCUGCCGGCUGCCGCUGUGCAGUCGAUCAGGCUGACGUGCAAUAGGCUGGUUACGGUAUGCAACUGCGAAUUAAUUUACGGACUUAUGAAUCUACAAAUCAUGCGAUCGCGGAGUGAAAAUGACCCAACAUCACCGAAGCAGUGCCUAAUUGGCUAUAUCCAGAGGCAGGCUUCAUCUUAGAAAACCGUGCAAAAAAAUGGAGCAUAAAAGCAAAUCAGGAGCAGAGAGGAAACGUAUAAAAAGGAGAAAAGCCCUGGCAACAGAUGCAGCAAGUUGAUGCAAAAUCCCAGCCAUGUUCGCCAGUAAGGCAGCAGGUCUGUCAGAAUUACAUUUACAUUAUGUUUACUAGGGGUGGGACGGUUCACUGAAAAAAAAUCGAACUGUUCGGUUCUCCACACACGGUUCGGAACGCGCUGGGACCGCGGUUCAACUUAAAUCUGAGAAAGCAUCUGUUUACUAUAAAUAACACGUAAAACAAACAGGGUUCAGUUAAUAUAUGUUUCUGUUGAUGGAUGUACAUUCUGGCUUCACAGACAUUACAACAACAGAGAUGAGAAAAAAUAAAUAAAUAAAUAAAUAAAAAAUCGUGGACAAACCAUUCACUCUUGUUCAAUACGAAUACGAACACUGGAUCAGUGCAUUCUUUUAAAGUGACAGUCUUUAUAUUAAUCGAACAGCAACAACAAAGAAAUCACUCACUGCUCUUGAUUGAAAAGCUUUUGUAACUUUAAUAAAGAAUAAUCUUUAAUUUAUACAGUCCAAAAUGCAAUGCUGUUUUACAUUUGAUUACUUUAUUAAAUUUCUGUAUAAAAACUAAUGCUAUACCUACCUGAAAGUCAGUUUAUUUUAUUUGUAUCUUUACUCUAUUGUAUUUAUUUGUGCUGUUGCUUGUAGCUAGAAUAUUCUAAAUAAUAUGAUAAAAUAUACAGUAUAUUUUUUGAAAGUAUAGUUUUUCCAUAAACAUAGCACAUAAAACGGUACCGAAACAGUGACUCUAAAACCGUGAAACAAACCGAACCGUGAAAAAGUUGAACUGUUCCACCCCUUAUAUUUACGUAAUCAUUUGGCAGACGGACGCUUUCUUCCAAAGCGACUUACAAUUGAUAAAAACUAUUCUAAAAAAAAUAUUACAAAUAUAUAUGAUAGAAGUUUUAAAAGAGCAUCUUAAUGACAAACUAGCACACUGUUUUACAUAUGGGGAUACAGUAUUUUUUUAGUGCCAAAUUUGACCAGAAAUGAAGAAAUUCAUGACAAAUGACUUGCUUCUUGCUUCAGACCAAGGCUGCAUCUCAUUGCUAGUUUUACUUGAUCUUAGUGCUGCAUUCGACACCAUAGAUCAUGACAUACUCAUAGAUUGAUUACAAAACUAUACAGGUAUUCAAGGGCAGGCUUUAAGAUGGCUUAGAUCCUACCUGUCCAAUCGCUAUCACUUUAUUUAUUUAAACGGUGAGUCAUCUCAAUCAUCACCAGUAAAGUAUGGGGUGCCACAAGGAUCUGUCCUAGGUCCUC
ensembl:lncRNA